rnacentral:rRNA from 1 species
AACUUUCAACAACGGAUCUCUUGGUUCUCGCAUCGAUGAAGAACGCAGCGAAAUGCGAUACCGUAAUAUGAAUUGCAGAUAUUCGUGAAUCAUCGAAUCUUUGAACGCACAUUGCGCCCUUUGGUAUUCCAAAGGGCAUGCCUGUUUGAGCGU